AUUGAACGCUGGCGGCAGGCUUAACACAUGCGAGUCGAGCGGAGAUGAGGUGCUUGCACCUUAUCUUAGCGGCGGACGGGUGAGUAAUGCUUAGGAAUCUGCCUAUUAGUGGGGGACAACAUUCCGAAAGGAAUGCUAAUACCGCAUACGUCCUACGGGAGAAAGCAGGGGAUCUUCGGACCUUGCGCUAAUAGAUGAGCCUAAGUCGGAUUAGCUAGUUGGUGGGGUAAAGGCCUACCAAGGCGACGAUCGGUAGCGGGUCUGAGAGGAUGGACCGCCACACUGGGACUGAGACACGGCCCAGACUCCUACGGGAGGCAGCAGUGGGGAAUAUUGGACAAUGGGGGGAACCCUGAUCCAGCCAUGCCGCGUGUGUGAAGAAGGCCUUAUGGUUGUAAAGCACUUUAAGCGAGGAGGAGGCUACUGAGACUAAUACUCUUGGAUAGUGGACGUUACUCGCAGAAUAAGCACCGGCUAACUCUGUGCCAGCCGCCGCCGUAA
rnacentral:rRNA from 1 species